rnacentral:rRNA from 1 species
CCUACGGGAGGCAGCAGUGGGGAAUAUUGCACAAUGGGGGAAACCCUGAUGCAGCGACGCCGCGUGAGUGAAGAAGUAUCUCGGUACGUAAAGCUCUUUCAGCAGGGAAGAAAAUGACGGUACCUGACUAAGAAGCCCCGUCUAACUACGUGCCAGCAGCCGCGGUAAUACGCAGGGGGCAAGCGUUAUCCGGAUGUACUGGGUGUAAAGGGAGAAUAGACGGCAGCACAAGUCUGGAGUGAAAUCCCGGGGGUUAACCCCGGAACUGCUGUGGAAACUGUGCGGCUGGAGUGCAGGAGGGGUAGGCGGAAUGCCUAGUGUAGCGGUGAAAUGCGUAGAGAUUAGGAGGAACACCGGUGGCGAAGGCGGCUUACUGGACUGUAACUGACGUUGAGGCACGAAAGCGUGGGGAGCAAACAGGAUUAGAUACCCUUGUAGUC